UAGUCCACGCCGUAAACGAUGAUAACUAGCUGUCCGAACCCACAGGGUUUGGGUGGCGCAGCUAACGCAUUAAGUUAUCCGCCUGGGGAGUACGGUCGCAAGAUUAAAACUCAAAGGAAUUGACGGGGGCCUGCACAAGCGGUGGAGCAUGUGGUUUAAUUCGACGCAACGCGCAGAACCUUACCAGCUUUUGACAUCCUGGACGCGGAUUUGGGAGACCAUUUCCUUCAGUUCGGCUGGACCAGUGACAGGUGCUGCAUGGCUGUCGUCAGCUCGUGUCGUGAGAUGUUGGGUUAAGUCCCGCAACGAGCGCAACCCUCAUCCUUAGUUGCCAUCAUUCAGUUGGGCACUCUAAAGAGACUGCCGGUGACAAACCGGGNGGAAGGUAAGGAUGACGUCAAGUCAGCAUGCCCCUUAGCCCUGGGGCUACACACGUGCUACAAUGGUCGUGACAAAGGGGUCGCUAAUCUGCAAAG
rnacentral:rRNA from 1 species